rnacentral:rRNA from 1 species
GCUAACGUCCAUACCAUGUUGAAUACACCGGUUCUCGUCCGAUCACCGAAGUUAAGCAACAUUGGGCGCGGUCAGUACUUGGAUGGGUGACCGCCUGGGAACACCGCGUGAUGUUGGCU